rnacentral:rRNA from 1 species
GAUGAACGCUAGCUACAGGCUUAACACAUGCAAGUCGAGGGACCGGCGCACGGGAGAGUAACACGUAUCCAACCUGCCCUUUACUCGGGGAUAGCCUUUCGAAAGAAAUAUUAAUACCCGAUAUAAAGGAUUGGGAUGCGUUCCAUUAGGUUGUUGGUGAGGUAACGGCUCACCAAGCCUUCGAUGGAGAGGGGUUCUGAGAGGAAGUUCCCCCACAUUGGAACGGAGACACGGUCCAAACUCCUAGGGGAGGCAGAAGAGAGGAAUAGUUGUCAAGGGGCGCUAGCCUGAACCAGCCAAGUAGCGUGAAGGAUGAAGGCUUAUGGGUCGUAAACUUCUUGUAUAGAAGAAUAGGUAUUAUAUGAAUAAGGAUCGGCUAACUCCGUGCCAGCAGCCGCGGUAAUUC